rnacentral:rRNA from 1 species
CCCAUCCCACGCCAUGUCUAAAAAAACACUCAACGCCUGAUCGAUCCAGAUCCCCAAUCCCGUCUCCGCUCCCACCUCCUCUCCUCCCCUCCCAAGUCCCAACCCUCCAUGGAGGGGGGAGCCGCCGGCGCAGGCCCCGCCCCCCAGAGCCGCCGCCGCCUCCGGCUCCGGCGGUGGCGGGGAGAAGGGCGCCCCGUGCCAGGAGUGCGGGGAGCAGCCGUGGAAGUACCGGUGCCCGGGCUGCUCCCGCCUCACCUGCAGCCUCCCCGGCGUGCAGGCCCACAAGCGCCCCCGCACCGUCCCCGUCCCGCUCGCCCAGUUCGACGACAACCAGCUCCUCUCCGAUUACAACUUGCUGGAGGAGACGAGCAUGGUCAGGGAGUCGGCCCACAGGCUGCUCGGCGGCUUCGGCCGCAACUUCGGCUGCGGCAUCGAGGAACGCCAUGGCGCGCAGCUGCCGCCGUGGCUCACCUUCCUCCGCAAGGCCGCGGAGCGCCGGGGUGUCCGGCUGGCCGUCCAAACCUGAAUUUUCCAUGGACCAUGUUUGUAACUUGUAUGUGUUGCUUUUGUUGCUUCAGUCUUCAGUUUACCAGGAGAUACUAGUGGUCAAUGUACCAGGUUGCUUGUUUCUACCGGGAUAAGUGUGAGGCAUACAUUCCUGCCGGUGUUGGCGGCUCGAUCAGGUCGGGGGGCAUCGGUCGCCGAGGCCGAGAAGACCGGGCUGUCGUUGGAUAGCUUCAAGACAACCGUUGUCAAACGCGACGACGAAAACAUCCAUUUUGAAGAAAUUCAUGGUUAUUUACAGUUUUGAGUUAGAUUUAUUCCAUUUGAAAUGAGGGCAUAUAUACUUGAUUGGGCAUACGGAAUCUUACUAGCUUCUAAAUCCGCUGAGCUGUACUGAUGAUCUGUUUUUGCUACUCACACAUUUUAUCCAAAGGAUCCUUAUGUCAAAACGAUGGCCACUUCUAGGUUGCUGAAGGAGGGAGCUGGCCUUCUUCACGUCUCGGGGCAGUGUCUUCCUUGGAUUCAACAAGGAGGGGACCCGGCCUUCUUCAUGUAUUGUGCAAUAAGGGUGAUCGACGCAGACUACCACAACCAGGUGGGUGUCGUGCUCUUCAACCACUCGGAGGCGGACUUCGCCGUGAAGCUCGGAGACUGCAUCGCGCAGAUAAUCGUCUAGGUGAUUGCGUCGCCGGAGGUCGCCGAGGUGGAGGACCUCAAUGCCACCGCCAGGAGGGAGGGAGGGUUCGGGUCCACCGGCGUUUGAACUCCGAGCCUUGGUAGAUACAUCUAGAGAAGUGGUCUGGUUGUUUGCGUCUGAUGUUAAAUGGGAUCUCAUGAUCCCUUGGAGUUGAGAUGUUCAAUGUUGCAGCCAUGAACGCUGGAAGUGCUAAACUGGUUCUGUGACCUUAGUUUAUUUUGCAUUGGACGUGUGUUGAUUUCCAUCCAUCAAUACUGC